rnacentral:lncRNA from 1 species
AAGGCUAUCGAGGAAGAGCUCAACAAGAAGGCUGAAGCCAAGAACGCCGCGCCGGCGAAGAAGGGCAAAAAGGCGUCCCUCACCGCCGCGCAAGUCGCCGGCGUCGGGUUACCCCCGCUCAGCAUCGCGUAAACAAACGCGAUUAAUAUCUGUAGAUCAUUCGAUCUCUGUGCCGCUCGAAAACCGAGCAGCGCACAUUUUUCUCGCGUCGACACGAAGCAGAGCGCUCGCGGGGCGAGCGGUGAUACAAUACGCCGUUUCGCUCUUCGGCGAAUUCCAGCAUGUGAAAUAAACACGCACGUAUAUAAUCAUAAUCACAAUGCUCGUCUCUCUAACUAAAACUUAAUAUCCUCGUCACACGCGCGCUCACGCCGCGACCGGGUCGAGCUGCUUGUCCGUGAACACCCACUCGUCGCCCUUCUUGACGACGGCGAUGCACUUGCUGCCGACGCGCCAAGUCGCCGUGGCGAUGGGCGUCGGGUCAUACAGGUACAGAUCCGGGAACGCCUUUUGCAACGCCUCGGUGGCCUUCUUGGCGUGGUAGUGCGGGAUGGUGUGGUUGAUGUGAUGCGCGACGUGCGUGCUGCCGAUGCGGUGGUGCAAAAAGUCAAACACUGGCCCGUACGGGCGAUCAAUCGUCAUAAACGCGCCCUUGACCAAGUUCCAGUCGUCGCCCUCAAAGUGCGGCACGUCCACGUCAGUGUGCUGCAACCACGUGUACAGGACGAGCCAAAAGUUGGUCACCAUGUACGGUCCGACGUAGAGCGCCAUGACGGUGGCGACACCGCUGUGCGCCGCCCACGCCGCGAGCGCUCCCAAAACCGCCACGACGCCGACGUCGCUCUGCCAAACCUUCUUCGCCCACUUCCCCGGGAACAACGCGUGCUUACCCUUCUCGCCCAUGAACGGCAAGAAGUGGUUCGUGUUCCCGCGAACCGGCCCACCGCUGGCGCCGGUGAGCAAAUAAAUCGGCCACCCCAAGGCGAACACUCCGACGAGGUUCAAAAACGUAAACGGCCCUUCGCCGAGCAACCCGCGCAACUUGAACAUCACGUUCGCGUCCUCCGUCCCCAACCGCGCCGGCACGUGCGUCUCUCCCUCGAGCACGUGAUUAGUCCUCGAGUGAUGCACCGCGUGCGACCGCUGCCACGAAAAAUACGGCACCAACAACAACGAGUGCAGCGCGUAUCCCACCGCGUCUUGAAUCGUUUUAUCGUCGCUAAACGCGCCGUGUCCGCACUCGUGCGCCGCGACCCAGCACCCGGUCGCCGCCGUUCCCGUCACGAACGCGUACGCCACCCACACCGGCCAAUACGCCGCCGUCACCGGCACGCACGCCCACGCCAGCGCGCCGCACGCCAGCGUGAUCGCCGUCGAGCACGCCGCGUACGCGAGCGACUUUCCCGUGUCCCGCUCGAAGCACUCCCUCGGGAUCGCGCGCAGCACCUCUUGCAUCGUCGGGAACGUCUUCGCCUCGGCGUUCAGCGCCUUGGCGUUCAAGCCCGAGCGCAGUUGUUCGUGUCGCGACGUGUCGUAGGUCGUCGCGGCGUCGGCGCGCGCGGCGCGGGCGACGCGCGCGCGAUCGCGACGUGACGUCGUCGAGCGAGAGAACGCGGCGCGCGGGAGCGCGCGAGCGCGCGGGAGCGUCAGAGCGCGGAGCAUGACGCGCGACUGUCGUUCGUGGAUCGCGGUGCCGCGGGAAAGCGGUCGACGCGCGAGCGCCGGUGAGUGCGAACGCGACGACGCGACGGGAGAGCCUUAUCCCGCGAGGCGCGAAGGCGGACGCGAGGCGAGCGAAACGCGCGAACGAAUCGGGGCGUUACAAAGGCUAGACGACGCGCGAGAGACGCAUGGAACGUAAAAUCUUAUCCACGAGUUGUGCGAUCACGGUGUGGGAUUGACGCUCGUCGCCGUGGUCGGUGAAUAAAGACUUGAGCCUGGCGACGACGUCGUGGCGGAUGAUGAGCUCCUUGGGACGCUGGGCGUGCUCGUGGACGACGCCGAGGGUCUUGAGAAGGGUGAUGCGGAUCGUCGGUUUCGUGGUUGGGGAAGUGAUGGCGUCCAUGAGGGAUGGGAUGAAAUCCUCGUUGGCCAGGGCUUGGCACAAGCGGGGGGAUUUGGAGAUGAGAUCGAGCAAGGCUUCGAGGACGUUGGCUUGGGAGGUGGAUUCGUCGAGGACCUCGAGGAUGGAAUCGAUGGCGUCCGUCUCGAGCAAGCGAGCUUCGACUUUCCACGGUUCGAUAGCGAGCCAGGAACCGACGGCAUUGAGCGCGGAGAGUGUCCAUCCGGAGUUCACGGCUAUGAGCUGGACGUAGGUGUCCAACGCGCCGUGCUUCUCCAAAAUUUCGCGCGUUUUCCGACUCGUCGACGCCAUGUCGCACAAGAGCGGCACGGCGAGCGUCAUCGCGGAAGAGCGCGCGGUGGUCGCGACUGCGGCGGUGUUGACUUUAUCGCCAUUCGUGGCCGUCGACAUCGAGCCAUCUCCGUUCUUUUCGUCCCGAGCGCUGGCGAUGAUUUGAACGAGGAUUGGAAUCAAACCCGCCACGGCGGCUUGCUCCUGACGCUCCUUGUUCACCGCGCACAAGUUGUGCAACGCCUUCAGCGCCAUCUCCCACGAUUGCGCGUGACCACUUCGAAAGUUACCUUCGACGCAUUUCACCAAUUUGGGAAUCGCUCCGGCGUUUUGCAACACAUGAAAUGCAUUCGUUUGUUGAGACAGCAAGUGCACCAGACCGAGAAUCUUCGUCGCCGUCGAGCGAGGGACGACGCUCAAUUGCGCCAAACAUCCGUGAAUAAUUCUCACGUCCACGAGCGCCUUGGAGACUUCUGCGCAUCCUUCACCACGUUUGGCGACACGAUACAGCGUCUCGGCGACGAGUUCGCGGUAAUACUUGCCCCCACUGGAACCUCCGCUGCGCGAUCGACUGAUCGUACUCGCGCCGCCGAUUGAUCCUGUCAUCGACGAACCCCCCUCGCUGCGCGCGUCGUCGAUAUCGUCCGUGAUCAUCGCCGCAUCUUCUAAACUCGCUGUGUGCGUUGCACCGAGCAAGGUGACAAGUUUCGGGAACAGGCCUGCGCUAGCAAGGGCAAGCGAGACGGUUUGAGCGAGUUGUUUCGGCAGCUGGUCGCCGCGCUCGAUCUCCGCGGCAAUAUAAAUCGCCCCGAGUGCGUAUUUGGUGAGCUCGCGCCCGUUUCCGCUGUAUCCGUAAUCCAAUACGUCGACUAAUAUGGGAAGCGCCCCGCAUGCGACGAGACAUCGUGUGAACACCGGUCCAGCCUUGGCGGUGGCGCGACACAGCCGCAACGCCGCGAGCUUGAUCCUCAUGCUUGAAUCCUUCUUUUUCAGCACCUCUAAAGCCCUAGGUAGCACCGCAAGCGUGACGAACGAUGUGAGUAUAUCUCUGCUCAACAUACUCGCUGCCGUGACACACUCUAACGCCACCGUUCGCAUUCUUGCCGACGCCGAUUCAUUUUCUAAGACGUUGACGAAAACGCCGCACGCUCGCGUGGUAAAGAGCGUCUCGUUCGCCACCAAUACGCUCGUAGCGGUCUCCAUCGCGCGUACGAAUUCUGCACCAGCCUGUUCGGCGUCAUCUAUCGCCGCCACAUCACUCGUUGACGUGCCGAACGCAUCCUUCAAGCGAUCGACGAUUGAGAUGAGCGAUUUGUUGAAGUCGAUUUGCGCCUUUGUCACGCCCGAGUCGCUCUUCAUAAAGUUCCCCAAAUCGCUCUUCAUAAAGUUUUCUAAGUCCUUUUGCGAGCUUGAGCGCUCGCUCGCGGCUAUUAGGGGUGACGAAUUGGCGGCUGCGGCGUCGUCCGCCGCCGUGACGUCGCCGUUCACGCCAACUUUUGCCAUUUGAUCGAUGACUUUAACGAUGACGCCUUCCUCCGCGUCGUCAUUCUGCGUUCGCCCACCGCUCGCGUCUCGUUUGGUCCACGUCUCGGCGAGCACUUUGUGCUCGUCCAUCAACCACGUGUGGUUGAUCAACUCCUCCGCGCUCGGUCGAUCUUUCGGGUCCCUUUUGAAGCACAACAACAAGAAAUCCCGCAACGCCUCUGAAAUCCCCGUCGGCAGCGGCGGGUGCUCGUCGCGUACGAUCCUAAACAACGCCGGCAUGGGAUCGAGAUCAAAAUACGGCGGGUUGCUGGUCAAUAACUCUAUGAUAGUACAUCCCACGCUCCAUAUAUCCGCCGCCGCCGUGACGCUCCGCAUUUCGAUCACUUCCGGCGCCAUCCAAUACGGAGUCCCCAGCGCCUUGUCGCCCUCGCCCUCACCCUCGGCUCGCGUCCCAUCGCCAAUCCCGCGCCCAUCGCUCGCAUCACCAUCGCUUCCUUCCGACCUCCCCUCCGCCCCGAACACACCACUCAACCCAUCCCCCGACGCCCGUCCGCCCUUUGUCGCCACGCCGAAAUCCGCCAACUUCACCACUCCCUCCUUCGUCGUCAAUAUAUUCGCCCCCUUGAUGUCCCUGUGCACCACUCCUUGCGAGUGCAAGUACGCCAACCCUCUCAACACCUGCGCGACGUACACCGCGCACAGGCUCUCCGGGAACGCCCCGAAUCGACUCGGAUGUACCGUUCGCGCCAGCGACCCAUUCUCCGCGUACUCCAGCAUGAUGUACAAGCACUCCUCCACGCGCACCGCGCCCUCAUAUUUCACGAUAUUCGCGUGUUCGAGCCUCGACAGCAGCUCCACUUCGCUCGUGAUGCGCUCGAGCUGCUCGACCGGGACGCCGCGCAGCGGAAUCUCCUUCACCGCGCAAAUCGACCCCGUGCGCUGGUCGACGGCUUUGUGCACGCGCGACGUCGCGCCGGAGCCGAUGAGCUCGCCCAGGAUGUGGUUACCGACGCGUUUCACCGCGUGGUGCGGCGACGCCGGCGGCGACGCCGGCAUGGCGCGUCGGAGAGUGCGUUCGAUGCGAUUGAGAUUGGCGACGACGGUUGAAAAUUUGAGAUUUCGGCGGAGGCGCGGUCGGCGACGGAUGCACGCGCGAUGCGGGACGCGCGCGACGCGAACGCGCGUCACGAACGAAAUGAAAAGACUCGCAUGAGAUUACACGCGAGAUGGCGCGGUUAGAUCUCGGCCGAGGUGGAGACGUCGAGGAUUCGACGGCGAAUGACGCGGUCGGCGACGGCGAGUUGGGCGUCGGCGACGGAGGCUCGAACGGCGCGAAUCGCGGAUGCGGUCGUGGCGAUGAUGGCGAUCGCGCCGAGAGGCGAUUUGGGGGGUAACGUUCCCGCGCGAAUGUGCGCGGAGAGGGCGUAGAUGGCGUACACGGUGGGGAUGGCUUGGAAGACGUAAAAGGCGACGACGGCGAGGCGUUGCGACGCGGCGUACGCGACGGUUUCGUAGUGAGGAAAACCGCUCGCCGUUCGGGCGAAUGUGCGGAAGUGUACCGUGGCGUCGCGGAGUUCGGUGAUGAGCGAACACGCGAUUGCGACGACGAAAACGUCGUGGUGCAACGCGAGGAGCGUGACGGCCAAAGCGACGACGCGGCGAAACAUCUCGCCGCGCUCGCGGCGGGCGCCGUCGACGACGACACGACCGACCAUCACCAUGACGUACACCUUGAGUAACUCCACCGCAGCUAACUUUCCAGCCUGCUUUCUUUCGUUCGGAAGUAUCCACGAGAUGGCGGCGGCGCGCACGUUUUGCGUGUCGUCGAUGAAGCGAUACGCCGCCGUGCCGACGGCGGCGGCGACGACUGCCUUGGUCAACGGGACGCUGAGCGCCAAGGAACGUUCCAUGAGCGUGCCGUGUGCGCUCGAUGCUUCGGCGAGCUUGACUUUACUAACCUUUUUACCGAGCUGCGGCAACGCCACGCUCGAGACGACGGCGGCUAAGAAGGUCGCGCAGCUAAAGACUGCGACGACGCCGACGAGCAGAGGCACAGCCAUCGGGAGCAUUUCCGUCACUGUUGAAGGAUUGCGCUGCGCGAACAUCGCACAGAUGGCCACUACCACGGCUAAGUAUUGAAAUUCCGGCGCGAUGGACGAGGUAGAAACCUCGCUUCUAGAUGCAUCGUCGCUCUUCUUGACCCACGUCAUUUGCAAAUCGUAAAUCAACUUGUUCGCAAACGCAGCCUCGCAAUACGCAAAGUAAAACUCAAACAUGCGCAAAAACUUUCGUGAGUAGCCCAUAGAAAGGAUUCGUUGGGCGUGAUGCAUCAUACGCUCGCGCCACAAUCGCAAAGUGACGGCAUAAUGCAAGCCGAUAUCGUCGUAUCCCUCGAGCACGAGACCACGCGGCGAAGCGCUCUUCAUCGCCCCCACCGACGGCAAGUGGCCACCUGGGAAAAUGUACGCACGAAUGAAGUCGCUUUCACUGUUGCAGUAUGACUCGUAGCGGCCGUCCGGCAUAGUGAUGACUUGGAUCGCGGCUCGCCCGCCGGGUUUCAGCACUCUGUGCACGGUGCCAAAGAACGUCGGCAAGUGUUCGUGUCCGACCGCCUCAAGCAUUUCAAUCGACACCACCUUGUCGAACGUUCCUUGCACAUCGCGGUAGUCACAAAUGACGAUGUCGAUCAAGUGUGACAAACCGGCGGCUUUGACGCGCGCCGUUGCUUCGGCGUGCUGCUCGUGCGACAGUGUCAAACCAGUGACAUGGCAAUUCUUCUCGCUCGCCAUGCGAAUCGCGCACGUCCCCCAACCGCAGCCAAUCUCAAGCACGCGAUCGCCUGGCUUAAUACCCGCUCGAGCGAUCAUGGCGUCUAUCUUUAAAUACUGCGCCUCUUCCAAGUGCUUUUCUUGGGCCUCGAACGUCUUGAACUUCUUCAAAACGUCUACGGACAUCGCAGCGUCGUCGAUAGCGCCGUGAAUGGCGCUCGAGUACAACAUGGUGUCAUCCAAAAACAGCUUGUAGAACUCGUUUCCAGCGUCGUAGUGGUACUCUAUGUUUUUACGAGAUCCUUCUUUCGUGUUACUUAACGCCUUGUGUGCUGCCAUCUCCAUUUGCGCUCCUACCCAGUUAACCGCCUCCGUGAGGAGACCCACUGGGUCGAGACGCAUCUUCGGCUUACAGCUCUCCGUCUCUGCGCCAGAAGCCGCGGGAUGGCCUUUGCAAAUCAUGUCCAUGAACCCAAUUAAAUCCACGUCGAAAUCUCCGUUCAUAUAACACUCACCAAGACCGAUAUCUGCGCGCAAAAUCGUUUGCAUGAAGAGUCUUUGGUUGAAUACCGUCAUGGUAAUCGUCUCCGACGACGCGUUGGCCUCUUUACCCAUCAUAAGACGUUCGCUUCCAUCCGGUAAAAUCAUGCGGAGUCGUUUGUCGGCUGGUAACCACCCCACGCACGCGCGCUGGAAAAGCGGUAAGACCAUCUUCGUGCUCAUGGACAACUUUGGAUCGCACGACCGCGGCAUCCACGGCACGGAUGACUUGCCGAGCAUUUUGUCCACACAAUCAACCGCUGAUUUGAUACCAUCCUCGUGAAAUCCGUAGCCGCACCACGCGCCGCAAAACCAAACCCGGUCUUUACCUUGUAACGCCUUGAUCUCCUCCUGCGCCGCGAUCGCGGCUUUGUUAAAUAACGGAUGCGCGAGCGUGACUUUGUGUUCGACCGAGCCUGCCUUCGGCUCGCGCGGCGGGUUCAGCGUGACGAACAAAUCCUUCGUCCCAGGGGCGAGGUUUUGCAACAAGUUGACCCAGUAAGUCACACAAACGCUUCGAUUUGCGGCUUCUUCGGCGGGAAUGCCUAAGCGAUCGCCGCGAAGGCAGUUCCACGAUGCCCAGGCAUCUUUGUUCCGCGGCAUCAUUGUUUCGUCGGUGUGCAAAUACACGUCAUUCUCUUGAUACUUCACCGCCGACAGAGCCGAGACUUCUUCCUCGCUCGCAGCUUUGCCAAGUAUUUGUAACGCUUGAUCGCUAUGGCACGCGAAAACGACGUCGUCGAAAACCUCGGUGGACUCCUGAACUUUUCCCUUGGCGUCCUCUGUCUUAAAAGUCACGCUCACGCCCCCCGCCACGCGGUACACCUUGGUCACGUACGCGCCCUUACGCACGUCUUUGAGCUCGCGCUCAACGGCGUCGACGUAAGCGCUCGAUCGACCACUGACGACUCGCCAGAGAGGUCGCUCGAUGAUGUUUAAUAAGUGAUGGUUCACCCAAAAUCGUACGAGCGUGCGCACUGGGAACGCCAUCGCGUCGUCGUCGCUGCAGCUCCAAAUCGCCGCACACAUCGGCACCACGUACGACUCUUGAAAGAACGCCGAGUACUUGCGAGCUUUGAGGUACUCACCCAAAGAGACGUCCGCGAACUCGCUCGCGCGUUCCGGCGCCAAAACCUCUGGCGCCUCGCGACCAAAACGUAGAAUCUCCCGAAUCAUAUUCAAAAACCGUCCGCUCAUCGCGUUCGACUUUUGCGCGAACACGCCUUUCAGUCCUAUGCUCCCCCACUCGACGUCUCCCGUGGACAAUGAAAACGACAUGUCGCUCGGUUCGCUCUCGACGCCGAGCUCGCCGAACAGGCCCACCAGGUGCGGGUACGUCGUCAGGUUGAACACCUGGAAGCCCAAAUCCACGUCGCACUUCGCCGUGCUCGAGUAUUGCGUCAGUGCGUGUCCACCGAGCUUCGUCGACGCUUCGAACAGCGUCACCGCGCCGCACGAGGGCGUCGAGGGCGCGCUUUGCGCUUUUACACUUUUUGGUCCGCCGCCGGCGUCGUCGGCGUUCUUUUGGAGUAAAUACGCCGCCGACAGGCCGCUGACGCCGCCGCCGAUGACGGCGACGCGUUUACCGCGUGUGGUGGCUUCGUCCUUCAUCUCGGCGUCGCCCGCGCGCGCGAUGACGCGUCGAGCGCUGACGUCACUCUGAGGUGGUCACUUUAGGGGACGGCGGGACGAGGCGCGCGCGGACGCGAACGCGGCCACGUUUGGGCGCUACGAUGAUCUAAUUCUAGUUACACGUUGUUGUGCUAAUGUUUGAGCGCGCGCUACGUCCACACGAUGUGCCGGUCGGAGGUGACCUCGUAUCGGCGCUGGUCCACGAGGCGACGCUUUACGUGGUCGCAUCGAAGGUCGGGGUGCGGGAACCGCGCGAGGUCGGCCACGCCGUCGUGGUCGAAAUCGGUGGCGGAUCGUAAUGGAAUGGCGGUCGUGGCGUCGGGCCCGAUUCCGAGCGCGGCUUCGGCGUUGUGCUUGGUUUCGAGGACGUGCUGGAGGAAUUGUUCCUUGUCGCGCGCGUCUCCGCAAUACGACGCCGUGACGGUGUGCGCGCCUGGGAACGUACCAUCGUCUCCCGCGUUGGCGGUGAUGAAAUUUCCCGAUUCUGCGGUGCUCAUGGCGUGGAUGUGGAACUCUCCCGCCGUCGUCGGCACGAGAACGUAGUUGAAGUAACUCUGCUCCGGAAAUUCGCCGUAGUUCACCUUGGAUACUAAUCGACUCUCCCCCUCGAGCCAUCGCUCGCACAAACUCACGCUCCGCGUCGUGGCUGGGAAAAUGACGAGCUUCGUGUUCAUGUUUCCUUGCGCCUCGAACUCGUUACCGACGUCUGAGCUCACGACGACGUCGUACUUUUCGAGCGCGCUCGUCCACGCUUCGGUUGGAUCGGACAAAAACACCGUGUCCGAAUCGAGCAUCACCACUGGGAUGCGCGCUUUCAGUAAUUCUAAGGCCGCGUGUACCUUGCGCCACGACAUGGCGUCGCGCGCGACGCCAUCGUUCGGAUCUUGCCCGUACGCCCGCGCGAAGUCGGCGUCGUAAAAGCAAUCCACGCCGCGAUGCGCCUCGCACGAUCGCUGCGUCUCCGUGUCGUACGUCAGCACCGUGACGUGCGGCAACAACGCCGGUGCCCAUCGUUUAACGCUCUGAAUCUGCAAAUACGUCAUCCCCCACUCGAACGGCUUGGUGAGGAUUAAUAUCCGCGCGUCGUCGCUCGCCCGCUGCGUCUCUCGCACGUGCGUCCGCAGCCCCGGCACGCCGCGUCCCGGCGACCGCAGUCCCGGCACGCGCGUGCGCAGCGAUAUCCUAUUUAUCACAUCCGCCUUCGCCGGCGCCCGCAUCCGCGCUUCCGCGCUCAACGGCGCUCCGAAAAAGUUCCCUCGCUCGUUCGCCGUCCCGCCCAGCCUCGCCGUCGCCCUCGAUCGCCCCGCCGCGCCCUCUCGCACCGCCGCGACCGCGAGCGCGCACGCCAGCGCGACCGCCACCGCGACCGCGAUCCCCGAGCCGCGCGUUCGCGCGCCGAUUCGCCUCGCGCGGCGCACCUCGGCGACGCGUUCGUCCUCAACACCAUUCGCUUCCCGCGCGCGCGACUCCGUCCCGUACGCCGUCGACGCGCCGCGCGCCAUCAGCCCCGUCGCGGGGUCCUCGCUCGACAUCUCCGCGCGUCGACGCUCGCGCGCGCGCGCGUCGCGGUGUGCCGCGCGCGUCGCCCGCGCGCCGCGCGAAGAUGUCGUAACACCCAUCGACGGCGCGACACAAAUCGUCGCGCGAGCGCGCGCGAGCGUCGCGCUCGACGCCCGGCGCCGACUCGAGCGACGCGCGAACGCGAUCGACGCGCGAUCGACGACGCGCGAUGGCGCGAACGGAGCGCACGGCGCUGCUGCGCGGCGAUGAAGACGUGGAAAUCGCGUUGAAAACGCGUCGCGGCGACAAAGACGCGUCCGCGGACGACGCGCGCGAGGCUCUCGGGCGACGCGAGAGGCGCGCGCGCGAGUCGAACGGUGGCGCGGAGGCGUCGACGAGCGCGCGCGGGAUGAAGACGGCGCGCGCGGUGGUGGUGGGGACGUUGGCGGCGGGGGCGAUCGCGGCGGGCGUCGCGGCGUUCGCGGCGUCGCCGCGCGCGGCGUCGAUGACGGCCGAUCGCGCGUUCGCGUCGCUCGGUGAGCGAGGAAUGGCGAUGUUGGGCUCGAGCGAGGGCGCGGGUCGCGACGCGAGACCGGUGCCGGUGCUGUCGAAACGAUUUCCGGGAUACGCGGCGCCGUUUAGCGGACGUUUCGAACGCAUCGGCGAGUGGCCCGAGCACUGGUUGGUGAAGUGCUCGAAGCACGUGGUGUGCGAGCAAUCACACUUGGGAGCGUUUUUGGGGUCUCGUGACGCGCCCGCGCCGUAUGCUAACCCGCUCGGGCACGGGCUGCCGCGUGGAUACGUGCGGCCAGACCAGGCGCGCAUAAACGAGUUCAUCUCGACGUGGGACAGCAACGCUAGACAGGCGCACGGGGGGGUGUAUGAGCUGCCGCAAGCUGGCAAGGCUAAAAUGGUCGCGAUGGCGCAUAAUUCUGCGUACUUUUACAACUUUGUGCACGUGCCAAAGGCGGGCGGGUCGUAUUUUUCCAUCACCGUCUUGAUGGAAGCCCUGGAGCGCAGCGGUGAGCAUCACGGGUAUCCGUACAAACUCACGCACGAGCCCGUAUCGCACUGGAUCACGCUUCCACAGGUGGAUCUUACGCAGACAAACGUGAAGGAGACGUAUACACAUUUCCAGGAAGGGAAGCCGGAGGGCAUUUUUGGACCCGAAAAUACCAAACAAAUGUAUAAAGAAGGCAAGCGGAUGUUCGGAAAGGGCCAGUUCGGCAUGGGACUGUGCGGAGUUAUUCACGCACCGUGCGUGUACUUGACUGUGUUGCGCGAUCCGGUGGAACGUUACUUGAGUCAUUACAAGUACUCGUGCUUGGCCGGGUCUGAGGGCGCCGCGCAGUGGUUACCCGAGUGGAAAGAACUCGACCGUUGCCCGUUGGAUCCGAUCGAGUUCAUGGACUACCUCGGACCAAACCUGGACUGGACGAUCGAGCUCGCCCCUGGCGCGAAGAACGCGCAAGAGCGCAUGGAGACAGCCAAAAGAAAUCUCGACAGUAACUGCUUGCGAUACCUCAUACUCGAGAAGUACGAAGACGGGUUGGAUAAACUCGGCGCGACGUACGCCGAUUUCUUAUUUUUGAACAAAGAGCCCGCGAAAGAAAGGCACAAAAAAAAAAA